rnacentral:rRNA from 1 species
UACGAAGGGGGCUAGCGUUGUUCGGAAUGACUGGGCGUAAAGGGCGCGUAGGCGGCGAUGUAAGUCAGGCGUGAAAGCCCCGGGCUCAACCUGGGAACUGCAUUCGAGACUGCAUUACUAGAGUAUGGGAGAGGGAAGUGGAAUUUCCGGUGUAGCGGUGAAAUGCGUAGAUAUCGGAAGGAACAUCAGUGGCGAAAGCGACUUCCUGGACCAAUACUGACGCUCAUGUGCGAAAGCGUGGGGAGCAAACAGG